rnacentral:rRNA from 1 species
UACGUAGGCAGCAAGCGUUGUUCGGAGUUACUGGGCGUAAAGAGUGCGUAGGUGGUGCCCUAAGUCUGUUGUGAAAUCUCCCGGCUUAACUGGGAGGGUGCGGUGGAAACUGGGGUGCUUGAGUGUGGGAGAGGAUGGCGGAAUUCCCGGUGUAGCGGUGAAAUGCGCAGAUAUCGGGAAGAACACCCGUGGCGAAGGCGGUUCUCUGGGACGGUACUGACGCUGAGACGCGAAAGCGUGGGGAGCGAACAGG